rnacentral:rRNA from 1 species
GACGAACGCUGGCGGCGUGCUUAACACAUGCAAGUCGAACGGUGACGAUCAAGCUUGCUUGGUCUGAUCAGUGGCGAACGGGUGAGUAACACGUGAGUAACCUGCCCCAGACUCUGGGAUAACCCCGGGAAACCGGAGCUAAUACCGGAUAUGACACGCCCCUGCAUGGGGAGUGUGUGGAAAGUUUUUUCGGUCUGGGAUGGACUCGCGGCCUAUCAGCUUGUUGGUGAGGUAAUGGCCCACCAAGGCGACGACGGGUAGCCGGCCUGAGAGGGCGACCGGCCACACUGGGACUGAGACACGGCCCAGACUCCUACGGGAGGCAGCAGUGGGGAAUAUUGCACAAUGGGCGAAAGCCUGAUGCAGCGACGCCGCGUGAGGGAUGACGGCCUUCGGGUUGUAAACCUCUUUCAGCAGGGAAGAAGCGCAAGUGACGGUACCUGCAGAAGAAGCACCGGCUAACUACGUGCCAGCCGCCGCGGUAACAC